rnacentral:rRNA from 1 species
UACGUAGGGUGCGAGCGUUAAUCGGAAUUACUGGGCGUAAAGUGUGCGCAGGCGGCCGCGCAAGUCGAGUGUGAAAGCCCCGGGCUUAACUUGGGAAUUGCGCUCGAAACUACGUGGCUGGAGUGUGGCAGAGGAAGGUGGAAUUCCAGGUGUAGCGGUGAAAUGCGUAGAGAUGUGGAGGAACACCGAUGGCGAAGGCAGCCCCCUGGGUCAAGAUUGACGCUCAUGCACGAAAGCGUGGGGAGCAAACAGG